rnacentral:rRNA from 1 species
AGCGCAGCAGGCGAGAAUUUUCCGCAAUGGGCGAAAGUCUGACGGAGCAAUACCGCGUGAGGGAUGACGGCCUAUGGGUUGUAAACCUCCUUUUUCAGGGAGGAAUAAAUGACGUGUACCUGAAGAAUACGCAUCGGCUAACUCCGUGCCAGCAGCCGCGGUAAGACGGAGGAUGCAAGUGUUAUCCGGAAUCACUGGGCGUAAAGCGUCUGUAGGUGGUCCAAUAAGUCAACUGUUAAAUCUUGAGGCUCAACCUCAAAACCGCAGUCGAAACUAUUAGACUAGAGUAUAGUAGGGGUAAAGGGAAUUUCCAGUGUAGCGGUGAAAUGCGUAGAUAUUGGAAGGAACACCGAUGGCGAAGGCACUUUACUGGGCUAUUACUAACACUCAGAGACGAAAGCUAGGGUAGCAAAUGGGAUUAGAUACCCUGGU